AUCGUAUUUUAAGGCUAUUUAUAUAUUUAUACAUAUACAUAAUGUAAGUAAAAACAACUGAUUAACUAAACUCAGAGUGCGUUGUGUAUAAAGUAGAGACCUGCACCCGCUGGACCCAAUGCAUAGUAGUGCAGCGCAGGGCAAAUUUUGAAAGCUCAUUGCGGGCGGGUGAGGCAGACGGAAAGUCUCGGAAAGCUAACCCUAGCUGCUCUUCCUUUCGUUAAGCUGGUUCUGGUUAAGCUGGUGCUUUGCCAGUCGUUACAUUGUUGUUUGUUUUUUUCUUGGUUUCUGGGUGAUUUAUUGUAUUUGGUGUCGUCGUCCAGACGCAGUGUAUUUACUUUAUUAUUUACUUAUUUAUUGUUUUCCUACUUUUGUGUGACGUUUUUAUUUUUCAUCUUUUGCAAUUCGUUAGAUUAUAGUUUCGUUAGUAUUUUGGGUUUAGAUUAGUUUGUUUGUUUUCUAAUUUUAUUUGUUUUUGCGAUUUAUUAUUCAUUUAUUUUCCUUAAAGAGAGGGCCUUGGCCUGUGUCUUGUGUCUUGGCCUGCAUGCCCUGUUUGCUUUCAGUUGUGUUUGCUUUCAGUUGUGUUUGCUUUAUUGUGGCGUUUAUUUGUUUGGGUCUGUAGGUGGGUUUUGUUUAGUUACUUCUUUUUUUUAGUUCUAAUUGUUUACUUUUUAGUUUGUUUUGUGUAAGAAUUUAUUUAUUUUGGUUAAAUAUUUCUGUUUAUUUGAAUAUUUUGUCAUUGCAGCUAGCUUAGUGAUGUGUUCAGCUAAGUACAUCACUUUUAAUUCCUCAAGCCAAUGACAAGAACUGCCUUGAGCAGUAACGCGAACGUCGGAAUCAUGCGGGAAUUGCGGGUGGGAGUGGGACUGAAAAUCAUAUUUUUUUGCGGGAGCAGGACUGGAAAUGCUGUCCCGCGCAGGUCUCUAGUAUUAACACUCCCUGUCCCGCCGGCGGGCCAGAAAAAUAUCAUAAUUCAUAUCUGGCUGUGUUUGAGUAAGUAUAGGCUCAAUAUAGACACCCAAUAUGCCAUUUUAAAGCUAAGAAUCUCUACUUUUCAGUCACAUUUAGCUGUAUUUCGUUUUAGAGCUGAAAGCGUGCGCUAGACGGUCCAGUUUGUGAUAAAAACACGCUCUUUGAUCCGCCCGGGGUACCUGCAGAACACCCCCCACACCCAAACAGAGCGAAUCAGCACCUACCUGAGAGCACUGGCUUCAGAAUCCACCCAACCAUCAGAAAAUCCAUCAAUCCAGUCCCCAAUAAUCCCCAUUUAUGUCUGAGAAGCGCUCUUAUAAAUCCGACGCAGAUUAAAACUAUUGGAAACUCCAGCGCUGUGUUCUGAGACUUUCCCUUUGUUCUGGAGCGAUCAAACUGCGCAUGCGUGUUACCAUGGUAGUUGGGCAGACUGAGAGCCCCCCUCUGCCCCCCUACAUUCUGUCAGCCAAUCAGGUGGCUAGUUAUGUGGGACAGAGGUGAAGCCCGCUCUGAAACCGGACACUCUGAGAGCGCUCCCCCCUCCCUCUGGAAAAUCUGCUCCAGCGGGUCUAUUCUAUAGGGAGAGAACAGGCUGAGAGACCUUCUUUAUUGCGAAAUAAGUUAUAAAAUUAAUAGUUUUUAUUCUUCUAAAGUUUCCAGUCCUUUUCAGAAAGAAAGGACCAUCCCAGGUUCAGAUCUCUAUCAUAUCUAGGGAGCAGUUUAUAAUUUUACAUGGUGAUUUUAAAACUUCUAAUAGCAGAAUAUUGAGCUACUAAAACACUUCAUCCACAUAAAUAUAUCAUUUUAUGGAUCUAAAAAUAGAAAUAGAAAAUCUGAAAAGCGCCUAAAAAUGUCCUGUUUUUUUUUACCAUAUUUUAUUACAUAUUACAUGUUCAAUUGAAUACUUUUUUUAGAAUAGUUUUGUAUUUUUUGGAAAAUAUCGUCAAAAUAUCGUUAUCGCAAAAAUCCAAAAAAAUAUCGAGAUAUUUUUUUUUGCCCAUAUCGCCCACCCCUAGUGCUCGUCCAAGAUACUUUUUAUGGUCCUUUGGAAGAAUUUGAAUUCGGUCUACUGAUCAUGCUGUUUAAAUGGGAUCCAGCAGAGAGACAACUGGGUGAGUCAUGUUUGAGUGUUCUUUCUUUUGUUUACUUUAGUUAUUAGGAGUAACUCUGGUUAGUUAGGGUGUUCCAACUGAGCUAGUCUCUAGCUCUUUCUUCGGAGCACUGUUUAUUAUUUUGCUUUGUUAUUUUGCCUUUAUUAUUUUUGGAGGUAAUCCUGGGUGGAGACUUGGUUCUCUGUUGGGGGUACGCACUCAAGCUUCUGGUUCUAGUUAUGGGACCAGUAGUAAUGAGGUUCAGCGUUUAAAGUGGCCUCGAGCCUGGUAAGCCUCUGAAGACUAGCAAGGUUUAGUUAGAUUAUUUUUGUUAGGUAUGUUAGGUCCAGAGUUACUCUAAACUAGUAGUAAGAACACUCAAAUACCCAUUGGUUGGGUUGUUUUUUUUCUCUUCUCUUCCUUUUUGGGAGAGGGUGUGUGAAUAGAUUUGGGGAAACAUUUGUUUGUAGCAGUAAUAUGGCCUGUGUUUUGGUAGUAGUAACCUUAACCUGUAUUUUGUAGUGGGAGUAUUGCCAACUUCUGUUUAGUCACUGGAGCCUUUGGAGGGGUUUACUGUAGAUGUGACUUGUUGGUAAUUUGUUAACUCUGCUAUAAAUUUUAGGUUUGUUGAUUUAGGUUAUUUUGGUUCUGUAGAUUUUCUAACCUUGUUAUUUGAGCUUUUAAUACAAUAACAUGUUUAGGGAGUGUUGUAAGCCUGGUAGUUUAACUUUUGUGUGUUCAGAUUAAGUAGCAGUGACUUUUGUCUUGCAAGAUUUUGUUGAUAAUCCCUCUGAGGAGCAGCUAGAAGAAUGUACAAAGGAUCAGUUAUUGCAGAUUGGACAGCAUUAUGGCAUUGAAUUUACUAGCCAGGAUAAAAAGUUAAAGGACUCUCUCUUUAAAGUGGUAAAAAACUAUUUUAUUAGAGAAGGGAGUUUUUAUUAAAUUAGCUAAACAAAGUGCAGGAAGUUUGCUUACCUCUGUAAGUAGUCAGGAGGGUUAACUAAAAAUGAAAGCUGUCUUAACAGGAAAAACAGUUACAAGUAGAUGCAGCUAAACUCAUAAGUGAUCGUGAGGCCCAAUCUCGUAAGGAGAAGGAAAUAGAAAGAGAGUUUGAGAUAAAAAAGUUGGAGCUGCAGCUAACCCUAAGGAAGCUGGAGAUAGAAAUGCAGUUGAAAGAAAAGGAUUUUGAGUUAAAGAAACUAGAGCUAGAACUGGCAGUUAAACAAGGGGUAUCAAUGGAUUUACCUAGUGCUAUAGCUACACCAGUGAUUACACCACCAAUAGAACCAGCUUUAGGGGCUGUGUCACCAUCAGAGCCAGUUUUUGACCUCAGUAAAUAUAUCAAAAUGGUUCCACCAUUUAUUGAGAGAGAUGUGGAGAAAUAUAUUUUUUCCACUUUGAGCGUGUUGCUACUUCACUACGUUGGUCUAAAGAGGUUUGGCCUCUGUUGUUGCAGUGUGUUUUGAGGGACACUGGGGCUGCCCAGUCCUUUUUGCUAGAGGGUGUCUUGCCUCUGUCUAAUAAUACAGCUACUGGUACACAAGUGCUAGUUAGAGGUAUUGAGAUGAGUUUCAUUGAAGUGCCUUUACAUUAGGGCUGGACCCGAAUAUUCGGGUAUUCGGAUAUUCGUUCGUUGAGUAGGUAUUCGGUUUUUAAUUUUGGUAUUCGGAUAUUUGUUUUUUUUCUCCUUUCCAGAGUUCCACCUCACUCUAACCACUUCUGUUCUCGUAAAUUUGAAGCAUUAAAUGUAGUUUAUUUAAUUUAUAUUAGGAACGUGGGCGGGAGCGGCAGAAAUGUGUAUGUGGCGGGCGGGCGCGGGAUUAAAAGAAGCAAUUUUUUUGCGGCGCGGUAACGAGACAGAAACGUGGGAGCGUGGAAGAGUGGGUUUAAAAAUCAGUCUCGCGCAGACCUCUAUUAUACAUGAUAAAAAAAAUGCAGGCUCUUCGAAACUGAUUUAUAUAAUAAAACGUAAGGGGUAAUGUGGCAACAGUAGGGGCUAAAUUGGUUACAAAAGCCUGGCCUACAAAAAUGAUGUCUGAACGAAUUUCCUCUUAUCUAAUAUAAUUUAAAAUGGUUUAAAAAUAUAAAAUAAUUUCUAAGCAAACGAAAUAUUUAAUAUUGAGCUUAUAGCCCAAGUGCAAAAAUACAAAAUCAGUAAUACGGCUAUGCCCUGCACAAUCCUUAAACCGAAAUAGACCAAGUACAAUAACGUCAUUAACAAUGACUUUCCUCUACUCUAAUAUAAUUUAACAUGGAUUAAAAAUAUAAAAUAAUUUCUAAACAAACGAAAUAUUUAAUAUUGAGCUUAUAGCCCAAGUGCAAAAAUACAAAAUCAGUAAUAUGCCCUGCACAAUCCUUUAACCGAAAUAGACCAAGUACAGUUUACAAUGACUGUCCUCUAAUAUAAUCAACAAUGUUUAAGAAUAUAAAAUACUUCCUGAACAAACGUUUUUUUUGUUUGUUUUUUUAAGCAAAUAGCCUAAGUGUGAAAACACAAACAGCAAUUUACUGGGCUGGCUUGCGCAGCGGAGAAACCGUGCAGCAGCAGCCUCCUAGCCUGCUUACGCAGCGGAUAAGCCGCGGUGUGGGGCAGCAGAAAUUCCGGGAUGAAAACACAAAGAAAUCUGGGCUUAAAACACAGAAAAAAUAUGGGGUGAAAACACAAAAAUCCGGGAUAAAAACACCAAAAAUCCGGGGUGAAUAUGUCUCGUCGGUCAGAGCAAAUUGAACAUUUUUCAGUGGAUUAAAGGGGCCGUGAUUUGCUUUUUUUUUUUUUUUUUUUUUUUUUACCUCUUUUUUUAAAAACGAAUAUUCGAAUAUUCGCUUCGAAUCAGUGCCGAAUAUCCGGAGCUCAAAAAACGCUAUUCGGGCCAGCCCUACUUUACAUAGAAUUCACCUUUCCUCUAAGCUAGUGUCUGGGGAUGUUACUGUUGGAGUGCGCUCGUCCUUUCCUAUACCUGGUGUUGCAUUCAUUUUGGGGAAUGACUUGGCAGGGGGUAGUGUUUGGGAGAAGUCUGAUGUUGGGGCCUUGCCCAUUGUGACUUCUGUGCCUCUUGUGUCUGACUAUUUGGAUGAGUGUGGUCAGAAAUUUCCCACCGUAUUCCCAGUUUGUGCUGUAACUCGGAAAAUGGCCAGACAACAGGUUGUAGGUGAGGAUUUAGAUUUAUCUCUUGCAGACACAUCCAUUGCUACUAUGGAUUCUGAGGAACAUGGAGGUAGUGGAUUUGUUAUAAAGUCAGAGGUGGAGAAAAAUGAGCAGUGUUUGGUCCUAGAGGAUAUAAAUGCUACCAGUUCUCUUGGUGACUCUGAAGGUGUAGUGAGGGAGAGCCAGUUUGACAUUAAGGAUAAGCUGUCUGAGAAUUUUUUUUAUCUUUGCUAAAUGUUUCACGUGACGAGUUGAUUAGAGACCAAGCAAAUGACAGGUCUCUUGAGAAACUGUUUUCUUUAGCAGGGUCUGAGGAAAAGCAGGAUAAAGAAUCUUCUUCCCGUUAUUUUUCUUCAGCAUGGUUUGCUGUGUAGGAAAUGGAACUUUGAGAGAGAUUCCUUCUGCUCUGUAGUUGUUCAGGUUGUGGUACCAUCUAAGUUCAGGAAAGCAAUGUUGGAAUUGAGUCAUAAUGGAUUAGCUGGACAUUUGGGUGUUCGUAAAACCUAUGAUCGGAUUGCACGUCAAUUCUUUUGGCCUGGUUUGAAGAAAGAUGUGGCUGCUUUUAUUAAAACUUGUCAACUUACUGGGAAGCCUAUCCAGACAGUUCCUACUGCCCCUCUGCAGCCUAUUCCUGUCAUCUCUACUCCUUUUGAACAUUUAGUAGUAGACUGUGUUGGUCCUCUGCCCCGUUCUAAGGCGGGACAUGUUUAUUUGAUGACUUAUGUGUCAGUCUACACGGUACCCUGUAGCUUAUCCACUACGCUCAAUAACUGCUAGAAAUAUCCUUAAAGCUUUGACGAACUUCAUGUCUGUGUUUGGAAUCCCAAAGGUCAUCCAGUCUGACCAAGGGUCCAACUUUAUGUCCCGGCAGUUUUCUUAAGGCUCUUAAACUACUUAGAAUCCAACACAAUAUCUCUAGUGCUUAUCACCCACAAAGUCAGGGAGUCCUUGAGGGAUUUCAUCAGACUUUGAAGUCACUAUUGAGGUCCUAUUGUGUUGAGCUCGAUGGUGUCUGGGAGGAAGGUCUUCCUUGGCUGUUGCUCUCCAUUCGUGAGGUAGUUCAGGAGAACAUGGGAUUUAGUCCCAAUGAACUUGUUUGCGCACAAUGUUCGUGGUCCCAUGGCUGUUUUGGCAGCUGAGUGGGGUAGUGACUCUGUACCAGAAAAUGUUGUGGACUAUGUGAGGGGAUUCCAACGACGCUUGUAUGAAGCUUGUGCUGCUGCCCAGCGGAAGUUGAGUAAAGCUCAGGGAAAGAUGCAGAGGUUGUUUAAUCGGAAAGCCAGCAGCGUAAUUUUCAGCCUGGAGAUCAGGUUUUGGCUUUACUUCCUCUUUCUUACAGUCCUUUCCAAGCUAAAUUUAUGGGUCCCUAUACAGUUAUGAAAAGCCUGAGAGAUAACAACUAUUUGAUCAAAACUCCUGAUCGAAAAAGAAGUUUCAGGUUUAUCACGUUAAUUUAUUGAAACCCUAUUUCUCACCUGUACUGAGUCCUGUGAAUUGUGCAAUGGUUACACAUCUGCAGUUAGACAACCAGUCACAUUCUUCACAAUCGUCACCUGGCAAUUUUAGUGAGAAGGAACAGGGAUGUGGUGAUCUUGUCAGUCCCCCAGAGUUUGAUUGUGUUAAUUGUCCCUCUCAUGGGAUUAUUGAGGGGCGUCUCAAGAAUUCUGAAGUACUAGCUAACUUGCCUCAGUGUCUCUCUCACUUGACAGAUCAGGAAAGGAAAGAUAUUGUCAAGUUGGUGGAAGCUUUUCCUUCCCUUUUCCCUGACAUACCUACUCACACCACUGUCAUUGAACAUGAUAUUGAUAUCGGUUCCUCACAGUCUGUAAAACAGCAUGCUUAUCGGGUAAAUCCAAGGAAACGUGAGUUGUUGAGUAAGGAAGUGGACUAUUUGUUGGCUCAUGAUUUUGCUGAACCCAGUAGUAGUGCUUGGAGUUCUCCAUGCUUGUUGGUGCCAAAGCCAGAUGGCACGUACCGUUUUUGUACAGACUACAGGAGAUUAAACUCAGUCACUAAGCCAGAUUGUUAUCCUUUACCCCGAAUUGAUGAUUGUGUAGAUCGGGUUGGGUCUGCUGCCUUCAUAAGCAAGUUGGACUUGUUAAAGGGGUAUUGGCAGGUGCCAUUAACACCACGUGCUAGGGAGCUGUCUGCAUUUAUAACGCCUGAUAACUUCCUACAGUACAAGGUUAUGCCUUUUGGGGUUCGGAAUGCGCCUGCUACCUUUCAACGCCUUAUGAACCAGGUCUUGGUUGGGUUAAAGGGGUGUGAGGCUUACCUAGAUGAUGUGGUCCUUUACAGUUCUAGCUGGCAAGAACAUCUGGGUCAGAUAAAAUAACUUUUUGCACGUUUGGCACAGGCAAACUUGACUGUGAAUCUUGCAAAAUGUGAAUUUGGGAGGGCCACCGUGACUUAUUUGGGUAAGAUAGUGGGGCAGGGACAGGUACGACCUGUUGCUGCGAAAGUGGAAGCCAUCUGUAAUUUUCCUGAGCCCAGAAACCGCAGGGAGUUGCGCAGAUUCUUGGGUAUGGUUGGGUAUUACAGGGAUUUUUGUCAGAACUUUGCUACCAUGGUUGAACCACUAACAAAUCUUUUGAGUCCCAAGGUUCUUUUCCAGUGGGGGGAGAGGCAACAGCGAGCCUUUAGUGGUGCCAAGGACCUGCUUGUGAGUGCUCCUGUACUAGCUGCUCCAAACUUUGCUGAACCUUUCAAACUUGCUGUGGACGCCAGUGAUUAUGGUGCAGGUGCCGUUCUUAUCCAGGUAAGUCCGGAUGGUUUAGAACAUCCGGUCUGUUACUUUUCAAAAAAGUUCAAUAGUCAUCAAAGUGCUUGUUGUACUGUGGAGAAGGAGGCACUUGCCCUAAUCCUGUCUGUCCAACAUUUUGAGGUUUAUUUGGGUUCCUCAUCUAGUCCAAUCAUUGUGUACACUGAUCAUAAUCCUCUAGUGUUUAUUGAUCGAAUGCGAAACCAAAACCAGAGGAUUAUGCGCUGGAGUUUAAUUCUUCAGCCUUUUACUUUGUCCCAGAGGUUGGACCAAGGGAAGUUAGCGUGGUGUGAGUCUUAAUUGGUUGCAACUGAUAGUAAUUAGUGAGAGUACAUAGGCUCUCUGGAGUUGAGCUCUCACUCUCUUGUUUUCCCCCUUCACCACCAUGCCUCACAAAAUUGUUCCGCUUUUGUCUCUCUUUUAGGAGUCCUGGAUUCCCAUGUUUAAACAGCUGACCAGUUCUUCUUUUUAAUACUUCUCCCCUAGACAUUUUGAUCUUUUUUUCUAUUUUUGAUAUAUAAAUAAAGUAUUUUAUAUUUGCUACUAGUUUGUUGUCCUCCCUUUCUUUAUGUUGCGAUCCUGGAACGAGCUGGGUCGUAACACCUUCAAGUGACAAUGACCUCUUCAGUCAACGCUCCAGAAACAGACCUGUUCAUAACUUCAGAGAUGGGAGCCCACCUACCACAGUGUUUUCUGAGGCUGAGGCUGCAAAAGAGGUGGUAGAAAAUGCCUUGGUUAUAAAACCUGGAGGUCAGGAUGUCCUUGAAGAGUACAAGGCAGAGAAAUCCCUGAAUCAUCGAACCCGGAGACAGCUUGUCAACAUAUUGACUAGCCAUAUGACUGAGAUGCAUGGGAGCCUGCAGAGAGGGAAAGGGUGAAGAAGGAGCUGCAGGAAAGGGUGGAGCGGGAGCUGCGAUACAAGAUGAAACAGGAGCUGAAAGAGAGGAUAGAGCGGGAGGAGAGGCAGAGAAAGGAACAAGAGAAACGGUAGCUGAGAGAGAAGCAGCAGAGGCAGCUAAAGACUCUGGGUUAUUGUGUGCUGGGAGGAGUUUUGGUGAGCGCUGCUGCAGUUCUGUAUACACUGUUUUACUAGUAUUGCUGAAUUAGUUUAAUUAACUAGGGAGAAAAGUGCAUGAAGGAACGUUAAAAGUUGGCUUGGAAAUGCGCACUAAACCCACCCUCGAACUCCAGUCUGCUGCUGAAUAGAAUAAUGGCAUAUUUUGCCGAAUUGGUAGCGUUUCCAGACUGCACGCCCUGGCAGUGCUCUCUCCCCACGACGGAGAAACUUUAUGAACCCACCGAGCCAAGCUGAGACUGCACGCCCCAGCAGUGCUCUCUGGAGUUAGCUUAGCCUCGGCUUCCCUUUCCGAAAUAAAAGUCAAAGUAUUUCUCUGUGAGGCAAAUAAGGCCUGCUCUUAAAAAUAAUGAAAAAUUAAUAACAAAAUUUAAUAAUAACAGAAAAAAUAAAUAUGAAAUUGGAAAAUAACCAACUAAACUAAGCCCAUUAAAAUCUAAUCUAACGAAUUUCAAAAGAUCAAAAAUUAAAAACUCAGCAAAAGAGUAGAACAAUAAAGUAAAGUAAUAUUACAAAAAUAAUAAUAAUAAUAAUAAUAAUAAUAAUAAUAAUAAUCUGCAUGACUGACCCGCUGGCCGCUGCAUGAACUCGGGCCCUGUCAGGUUCGGCGGAAGAAAAUGGUCUGUUUUAAUGUAACAAAUCACAGUGUGAUCUUUGUGAUUGUUCACCAGUUACAGCUCAGCUGCGCGUUUAAAGCUCAAGGCAUGAAUUAAUCGGUGCACUGCGUGCUCGCGCGGGAUUUGGCGCGUCUGUCAAGCAAGCUAAUGGACAGUUUUGGGGGCAGAGAUAAAGACGUACAGCACGUACAUCUCAGAUUUUUAGUUUAAUGCUCUACUAAAUUAAUGUGGAUUUAAUUGGAAAAUAACCAACCAAUCUAAGCUCAAAAUGCUAAAGGAGGAGCAGAGGCAGCUUGACGGUUCUAGUGAAAUAAAUGUAAAGAAUGAUGUCUGAAUGAAUUUCCUCUAAUCUAAUAUAAUUUAACGUGGUAUUUUCUAAACAAACUACUGACAUUAUGAUAGUAGAAUAUCAUAGCAAAUCAAUUAUACCCUUUUAAAGUCAACUAUUAAAUAAAUAAUAGAAACUUUAUCACCUACCGCAGUCCACACUGUGUUGUGUGUAUUGAGUCAGUUUUUGAAGCAUUGGUCAUUGCAUCACUGGCUAAAAUACUGUUCACUGUUAUAUAUGUGAACAAAACAUACAAAUUAACACAAUAGACAAUAUCUUGACUAUCAAAAAUGAUUGAGAUCAUGAUUCAUUCAAAUAUUGUCUUUAAAAUGGUACCAUUUCCUAUGAUAUUCUAUUACUACUAUAUUCUAAUUAAACUUCUACCAUGUGGUAAUGUGAUAAAUCACUGUGCGGAUUCUAAGAGAUGUACCGUAUCGGUACUGCACUGUCCUGUCUUUAAAUUGUCUCGUCUUUUGUAUUUAUUGUAUUUAUUUUUAUUUAGUGUUAUAAUUUUAUAAUUUCAUGUUGCACUGUCGUCACUCCUGCACUUUGUUGUCUAUUGCUUGUUGUUCUAUGUUGCACCAUGGUUCCGGAGGAACGUAAUUUCAUCACACUGUGUACCUGUACUCAGAUGUAAUGACAAUAAAAGCCUCUUGACUUG